rnacentral:rRNA from 1 species
UACGGAGGAUGCGAGCGUUAUCCGGAUUUAUUGGGUUUAAAGGGUGCGUAGGCGGCUUUUUAAGUCAGCGGUGAAAUUUUGCAGCUUAACUGUAACAGUGCCGUUGAUACUGGGGAGCUAGGAUUUGGUUGCUGUGGGUGGAAUGUGUGGUGUAGCGGUGAAAUGCUUAGAGAUCACACAGAAUACCAAUUGCGUAGGCAGCUUACUGAGCCGACACUGACGCUGAGGCACGAAAGCGUGGGGAUCAAACAGGAUUAGA